rnacentral:tRNA from 1 species
UGCUUCAUAGCUCAAUGGUAGAGCAACCGGCUGUUAACCGGUUGGUUCCAGGUUCGAGUCCCGGUGAAGCAG